AGAGUUUGAUCAUGGCUCAGAACGAACGCUGGCGGCGUGGAUAAGACAUGCAAGUCGAACGCUAAUUAGAGGUUAGCAAUAAUCUCUAGUUGGAGUGGCGCAAGGGUGCGUAACACGUGGGUAAUCUGCCGUGAAGACUGGGAUAACUCGCUGAAAGGCGAGCUAAUACCGGAUGUGACUGUUUGGUGGCAUCACUGGACAUUCGAAGCUGGGGACCGAAAGGCCUGGCACUUUACGAUGAGCCCGCGGCCUAUCAGCUAGUUGGUGAGGUAACGGCUCACCAAGGCUAAGACGGGUAGCUGGUCUGAGAGGACGACCAGCCACACUGGAACUGAGACACGGUCCAGACACCUACGGGUGGCAGCAGUCGAGAAUUUUUCACAAUGGGCGCAAGCCUGAUGGAGCGACGCCGCGUGGGGGAUGAAGGGUUUCGAUCCGUAAACCCCUGUCAUUUGCGAACAAACCUUGUGGGUGAACAGCCCAUGAGCUGAUUGUAGUGAAAGAGGAAGGGACGGCUAACUCUGUGCCAGCAGCCGCGGUAAUACAGAGGUCCCAAGCGUUGUUCGGAUUCACUGGGCGUAAAGGGUGCGUAGGUGGCCAGGUAAGUUCGGUGUGAAAGCUCGGAGCUUAACUUCGAAAUGGCAUUGAAUACUAUCUGGCUAGAGGGUCGGAGGGGAGACUGGAAUUCUCGGUGUAGCAGUGAAAUGCGUAGAUAUCGAGAGGAACACCAGUGGCGAAGGCGAGUCUCUGGACGACUCCUGACACUGAGGCACGAAAGCCAGGGGAGCAAACAGGAUUAGAUACCCUGGUAGUCCUGGCUGUAAACGGUGCACGUUUGCUGUAAAAGGAAUCGACCCCUUUUGUGGCGAAGCUAACGCGAUAAACGUGCCGCCUGGGGAGUACGGUCGCAAGA
rnacentral:rRNA from 1 species